rnacentral:rRNA from 1 species
CCCUAUUAUUUUAGAACGUUAAGGUUUGUGCUUGAGUAGUAUUAGUUAUGUUCUUGAAACUUAAAGAAUUUGGCGGUAUCUCAUUCCGUUCAGAGGAAUCUGUCUCGUUAUCGAUAGUCCGCGUUGGACCUUACUUGGUUUGGUGUUAAAUAGGGUUUGUAUACCGCCGUUUAUUGAUUAUCUUUUUAGAGUUUAUUUAAUUUUCUAGUUUCUCUAUUUGGAUUUAUUUCAGGUCAAGGUGCAGCUUGUUUCUAAGUGGAUGAUGGAUUACAUUUUUAUUUGUUUUGUUGGAUUGUUGAUUUUAAUAUUAGCAUGAAAUUGGAUUUGGUUGUAAUGAUUUGUAGAUUGUUAUUGUGAUAAUUGGUUCUGGGAUAUGUACACAUCGCCCGUCGCUCUCGUUUAAUUGUUAAUGAGAUAAGUC